UACGGGGGGGGGGCAAGCGUUGUUCGGAAUUACUGGGCGUAAAGGGCCAGUAGGCGGCCAACUAAGUCGGAUGUGAAAUCCCCGGGCUCAACCUGGGAAUGGCAUUUGGGACUGCAAGGCUUGAGUGCGGCAGAGGAGACUGGAAUUCCUGGUGUAGCAGUGAAAUGCGUAGAUAUCGGAAGGAACACCAGUGGCGAAAGCGGCUUCCUGGUCCAGCACCGACGUUCAGGCACGAAAGCGUGGGGAGCAAACAGG
rnacentral:rRNA from 1 species